rfam:Camelus ferus unplaced genomic scaffold scaffold1073, whole genome shotgun sequence.
GAGGGUAAAGCUCAGGGGUAGAGCAUGUGCCUAGCAUGCAGGAGGCCCUGGGUUCAAUCCCUAGUACCUCCA